rnacentral:rRNA from 1 species
GAUGAACGCUGGCGGCGUGCCUAAUACAUGCAAGUCGAGCGAACGGACGAGAAGCUUGCUUCUCUGAUGUUAGCGGCGGACGGGUGAGUAACACGUGGAUAACCUACCUAUAAGACUGGGAUAACUUCGGGAAACCGGAGCUAAUACCGGAUGAUAUUUUGAACCGCAUGGUUCAAAAGUGAAAGACGGUCUUGCUGUCACUUAUAGAUGGAUCCGCGCUGCAUUAGCUAGUUGGUAAGGUAACGGCUUACCAAGGCAACGAUGCAUAGCCGACCUGAGAGGGUGAUCGGCCCCACUGGAACUGAGACACGGUCCAGACUCCUACGGGAGGCAGCCGUAGGGAAUCUUCCGCAAUGGGCGAAAGCCUGACGGAGCAACGCCGCGUGAGUGAUGAAGGUCUUCCGAUCGUAAAACUCUGUUAUUAGGGAAGAACAUAUGUGUAAGUAACUGUGCACAUCUUGACGGUACCUAAUCAGAAAGCCACGGCUAACUACGUG